rnacentral:lncRNA from 1 species
UGAUUCAGUUGGAAGAGGCGGUGAGCGAACAGCUUUUGGUUGGAAGACCAGCCUCGUUGCGGCGUUACGAACGGCUGACGACCGGAAAACGGAUCUGGCGUGGCGAUUGUCAUUUAGUUUUUCUUCUUUCUUUUCUUUUUGCAGUGGGAUUUCAAGAGGUGAACUAUGCAAGAAUGGUUAUCUGUAAACCCUUAUUUCUUCAAAUCCAC